UUGACGGGGCCCGCACAAGCAGCGGAGCGUGUGGUUUAAUUCGAUGCAACGCGAAGAACCUUACCAAGGCUUGACAUGCCAGAAGUAGGAACUCGAAAGAGAGACCACCUGUAUCCAGUCAGGAACUGGCACGGGUGCUGCAUGGCUGUCGUCAGCUCGUGCCGUGAGGUGUUAGGUUAAGUCCUGCAACGAGCGCAACCCUCGUCGCUAGUUAAUUUCACUAGCGAUACUGCCGUAAAACGAGGAGGAAGUGGGAUGACGUCAAGUCAGCAUGGCCCUUACGCCUUGGGCUACACACACGCUACAAUGGGUGAUACAACGGGGUGCGAAAGAGCAAUCUGGAGCUAAUCCCUAAAAAUCAUCCUCAGUUCGGAUUGCAGGCUGAAACGGCCUGCAUGAAGUUGGAGUUGCUAGUAACCGCAGGUCAGCACACUGCGGUGAAUACGUUCUCGGGCCUU
rnacentral:rRNA from 1 species